CGUGAGAACUUCCAAUGACUUGGCAAAUCGCUCUGAAUCACUGACGUUUGGCGGCCACCUCCACCCAUGCCUGUCCCUUGCCUGCUCCCUCGCCGGGUGUCAGUUCUCGAGCCUACGUGCUGAGAAGAGAAGUUAAAAAGGGAGGCACAACACUACUGAGUCCGAGGAGUCGUGGGACUUGUACAAAGCCCUCCAGAAGACGGAUGAGGAACUGGCACAAACCCUGGAGAUAACCGGCUGAGACCCUGCUGCCCUUUAAUCAGCCUCGUUCCACCCCUGCAGCACCGUGGGCUGAAGCAGGCCUGGCCAGGAAACCUUCAAGUAGCAGCACUUUCCCUUCUAAGCAGUCUGCCUUCAAGACCCAGGAGAAAAUGCAGUGGGAGAGAUGAGCUACUCUUCUGGGGCGAGACUCCUUGGCCAACGCUGAGUGAAUCCUUGUGCAACAUCAGUAAUUAUCAUCAUUGUUAUAUUGGUCCCUGAAACUCAGAGUCCUGCUCUAGAUGGUUCUCCUGCUAAUAACUGGGAAAAAGCAAGGAGUAAGGAAAUUGGGUGGUGGUGAGCAAAGUGCUCGGUGCUCCUUCUGGGACGUUCUCCUGUUGGUUGGAAAUGCAUCGAACUUGUCGGGUAGGAAGCAACCUGGUUACUUCGGAUGCUCUGGCAGCCUGCAGCUCCAUCCCAGCCCUGUUGGACUCUCUUGGGCAGGCGUUUCGGCUGUGCUGGGUUGUGCUCAGCACUCACACCAAUGAAACGUGAGAUAAUUUGGCGGCCCACCACCAUACAGCAGUUGCUGCGGGUGUUGAUGCCGUAUAUUUGCCCUAAAUCUAGGAACAGACUUGAGGUCUUGCUUGCUUAGCAUGUAUGGUUUUAUGGCCAGCAUCUUGAAAGCCCGUGAUGCUCAGAGAUGAGCUAGUCCCUGCCCUGAUGCCCACCUUGGAUAUUGCCAGCAGAAAGGAGCUGGGAAGGGGUGGAAGAGGCAGCUGGUAGCCAUCUGCUCCCGGCUGUUUGCAGCUCUCAGGCUGCACUGGGAGGCUCGCUCUCAUCUUCAUCUUCAUCUUCUUCCUCACCUCCCUGCAGGGGCAGGUUCUUCUUCCACGGGAGCCACGGCUCUGGCCGUUCCCUCUUCCUCUACAGGGCUGCCGCCUCCUCUGUCUGAUGAAUUCAGCCGAGGCUCUGGCUCCAGCUCAGAGUUUGUAGCUUUUGUCCUUGCGAUUCCCCCAGAUCUCAGUGGGAGCUGAUUUGGCAUCGAAUGAAAGAGUUUGGGCUUUGAGCUCCUCUCACAGGAGCUUGAGCAGGCUGAAGUUUUGGGGAUGGAUGGGCAGAGCGAGUGCACACCAAAAGCACUAGGGCUGGACAACAAAUGGUUGUGCCGUUCAUGUGCGUUGGAGGCAGCACAAAGUCCUAUGACAAGCGAUAAAACCCCGCGGAGUUGUCCUGGUCCUGGCUGUGCCGGCCGGGUGGAGGAAGUGCUGACGCUCCUGCUCUCCUCAGGCUUUCGGGAGAUCCUUUUAAUGCAACGGCGCUUUGGCUUUUAAAAGUGGUGGCUGUCCGCCAGCCCGAUUUAUUUUAAACAUGUGGUUCUGAUUUGAAAAUGUCCAGAUCUUG